rnacentral:rRNA from 1 species
UACGGGGGGGGCAAGCGUUGUUCGGAAUUACUGGGCGUAAAGGGUUCGUAGGUGGCUUGUUAAGUCAGACGUGAAAUCUCACGGCUCAACCGUGGAACUGCAUUCGAUACUGUCGGGCUAGAGGCAGGUAGGGGAGAUCGGAAUUCCCGGUGUAGCGGUGAAAUGCGCAGAUAUCGGGAGGAACACCGGUGGCGAAGGCGGAUCUCUGGGCCUGUCCUGACGCUCAGGCGCGAAAGCUAGGGGAGCGAACAGG